CAUAAACUGCUGAGGGCUAAAUCCUGUGACAUCCAAAUUAAUGCCAGGAUUUGCAGUAAAGGAUGGGAUGUCUGGCCUCUGGCGAUGAGGCACUACCCACUCCCAGGGCCGGAUUAAGAGCACAGUGGGCCUGGUGCUGACAAUUAUGAUGGGCCUAAUUACGGAAUCUUAUCGACCAAAAACACUAAAACAAUCAUACCUCCCAAGCGUCAUGUAUCUGAUGGAGAUGGUGCUGGAGGGAAACUCAUAGGAUGCAGCUAUAAGAAAACACAUACCCUAUGCUAAUUUCUCUCUAAUUUAUGCUUUCAUCUUUCAAGUAAAUCCAUAACCCCUAACAGCAGUGUCCAGUGAAGCAGGAAGUCAAUG